GUUUUUAUCCUGUUAAGAGAAGUCUUGGGAAAAUAUCCUUCGCGGCGGAAUCUGGAAGCACGUUCCUGGUGGUUGCCAGGAUUUCUUGACUUGUGGAUUCACCAGGAUUUCUAAGCAAAAUCCUUGAAAUUGCCAGAUUUUGAACAUUCAGAAGCUUUGCAAAAGGGGAAAGCCAUCGCGGAGUGAUUGCAUUGUCCUUAUUCUGCUUGAGAAAUACAUUGUGGUGAGAAAGAUAUUAUAAAUAUGAAAAGGAAAAUAUGACAAGGGGGUGAGGAUGCAGCCUAAUUAUGGGCUCGUGAUUCGAGGUCAGUUCCGGAGCAAGUGGUACAUGGACACCAUGGGUCCCCUGCUGGUCAUGACUAAUGGGUCAAACAUUACCAUUUAGCAUGUGUGUACGGAUAUGUGACAGAGUUGAGAUAACUUCUGAUUUAUGAUUGUGUCUGGUGAUUUCAUGGGUUGAGUUACUCUUAUUGAAUUCUAAUUGUGUGGAUUUAUCUUAUCCCUGUAUUGGCUGAUAUUUCGGUGUUGGAUGAGUCUUGUUGAUGUUUUCGUGUGGUUAUGUCUUUGUUGUGCCUAGCUGUCUAUUUUAUUAAUUUUGUGAUUGUAUGCACGAUACUAAUCUUAGUCGGCCUAUGAUAUUUACCAGUACAUAGUGUUUGUACUGAUACUACCUUGCUGCAUUCU